GUGCCUUGUGAGAUUAGAGUU
rnacentral:miRNA from 1 species